GACGAACGCUGGCGGCGUGCUUAACACAUGCAAGUCGAACGAAGUGGCGAACGGGUGAGUCACGCGUAAUCAACCUGCCCUUCAGAGGGGGACAACAGUUGGACACGACUGCUAAUACCGCAUACUGAAGGAGGGUAUUGCGUCUGAUUAGCUAGUUGGCGGGGUAACUGCCCACCAAGGCGAUGAUCAGUAGCCGGGCUGAGAGGAGGAACGGCCACAUUGGGACUGAGACACGGCCCAGACUCCUACGGGAGGCAGCAGUGGGGAAUCUUCCGAAAUGGACGAAAGUCUGACGAAGCAACGCCGCGUGAGUGAUGACGGCCUUCGGGUUGGAAAGCUCUGUUAAUCGGGACGCGGUACCGGAAUAGAAAGCCACGGCUAACUACGUGCCAGCCGCCGCGGUAAUUC
rnacentral:rRNA from 1 species